GCGCGACGUAACAAACGGUGGCGAUAUCUGGUGAACAAAGAUAAAAGCAGUACGCAUCGAUACACGUCCGGAUCAUCAUCGUGUGUCAUCGGAAAGUGGACAGUAAUGCAUAACGAGCAGAACGCGCGGUCAAUUCCGUUAUCGAAACGGAUGGCUUUAUUAAACCCAUUAUUCACUGGUCGUAAUUUAUCACGAUAACAUUGCGUUUUAAGGAUGAUUAUACGAUGGUCAAGAAGGACGAUGUGUAUCUGCCGAUUACGCGUGCCCUCUGUUUGAUCACGUGAUCGAUUGCUCGAGCGACGACAGCUUGUCGACCUUAUUUUCCAUACAAACAGUGAACACAUUCGACACUCGAAAUGCAUACCAUCGCCAUCGAUACGUGGAGGAUAUAUAUAUAUAUACACCGUGGAAAAUUCCGUUAUAGGAUAUCACGGUUUACCAUCGACGAUUCGUCUUAGUCACGAGGAAUCGAAAAAACAUCGACAGCUCGCUCCUCUAUUUUCUGCAUUCGUUACGUGGCGAAACAUAACCUUUCAACCUAGAUGCUCGCACACUUUGACGGAUUACAGGCCCGGUUUACACCGCUAAGCAUCCAGCUGUUGUUAUUCUACCCACGUAUGUACGUUUAAAUACUUGUACCGUGUUUGAUUACUGCGAAUAAUUUCUACUAGUUCCAUUUAUAAAGUAAACUUUCCUUGCCUGAUUCGGCCGCCAUUCGCGACAAAUAUUUCGCUCGGUCGGUAUUUAUAUUAUUCGUGAAAAUAAAACUGGUGGAAUAAAUAAUAAAUUUAAGUUACGUUAAAAGUUAAUGUUUUCUCGCUUCCUUUUAUCACUCUUCGUAUACAAAAUCGAUCGGUGAUAACAUCGUUGCAAAGUUAUUCGAUAAUUAGGUAUCGAAGACACACCGUGGGAUGAAACUUGGCGUGCAUCGUGUGCAAAGGCAGCUUAAUAUCGACGCGGCCGGAUCUAAGAGCGAAGUUUCCUCUCUUCUCCGAGGGAUUUUCUCAGCUUUGGAAUAUAUAGUGGAGAGCUGUGUGUAAACGAUCGCCGUGCCUCCGCGCGCCAUAUUAAUAGGGCCAUCUUCGUGGCCAGCUUAAUAUUGGAUAGCGAAGCGCUUGGACCGUCCUUGGAAGCAGAAAACGAUUUAUGGCCUCCACCGUUGGAGGAUUUGUAAAUAGAAUCCUGCGCGGCCCGAGGACAGGCACGUGCUCGGCAUAAGUCCGCCAAGAAUAUGAGAAGGAUUUCUAUUCAAUUGAAUUUGUUGUUACAGCUUCUACCGAUGCGAAUUAAAUUGAGAAUGAACUGCAUUACCUACCAUGUAAUAAGAGACUGAUGAGAAGAAGAGAGAAGAGAAAGGUGAAAGCCGCAACUUUACAAAAGGGAGAUUCAUAUUCCGGUCGGAGAAGCAGCGGCAUUCGGAGCAGAAAAUAAAAUCUACGGGGGUCGGUCGGUCCACGGAAACGGACGUUGCAUUCACGGGAACGUUUCUCGUUUUCGUCUCAUAACUUCCUCCUUCCUGGACUCCUAACCGACUCUUUCCCCCGGCCGUGUCACAUCGCUGACCCUUCCUGCACUUAGCCGGGCUCUAAACCAACCGGCAAACUUCGUGACGUGCAUUUCAAAUGCCGACCCCCGAAAUUUUCUUUCGGUUACGCGCAAUCGGAUCUUCCUCUUACAAAUUCGUCCUUAAAUUCUCUUUCAUUUUAAAGGACGCGCAGAUUUCAUAUAUCCUCGAGUAUCAAAGCAACUUUACUCUGAAACACACCGCAAAUUUAUAAAUCCGUAAAAUCAGUUGCUUGUGCCGCGAUUUCGAAGACACUCUGUACAUAUAUAUACACGUAUAUAUUUACGUGGAAUGAAGAGGUGAUUUGCAAAGCGACUAUCAGGGAAACACAGCGUCUAACUAUCGGCUAAUCAGCCACCAAGUUGCUCGAUGUAAGACGGAACGCCUCUUAUCCGAUGAUCCGUCUUUCCUCGAGACAUAACAGGGGGCUAACUAUGCCCGACUAAGCUUCCGUCACGUCGGAUAGUGUGGUAAAUCUUCCGGAUUUAUGUGCGCCAUUGUCCACGGCCGCGCCGCUACUCGCCUUUUUGUCGCGAUAUAAACCCUCGAAGCUUGAUCUUCUUGAUCUUCUAACACGAUAAACGAGGAUUUCGAAUUUGAAAGAAGGGAGAGUAAUUAAAAUUAUAAUUUUAGAGAAGAGAAAAAUAAAGCGAUAAUUAUCUUCGUCCGUGACAAAUAUAUGGGACAAUGGGAAAUAUGACAAAAUUCUAUUUUAUAUAUCUCAAUAUGGGUAUUGUUGUGAAAACAAUUAAUCCUAUUAUCUGCUGAUGAAUUUAUCAAUAUACAUACUCGAUAAUUGCAAAUACGAUAUUUGCAUUCAAGCUGACAUUUGAUACUUUGCGACAAAGGCAAUUUAAUAAUAAUUUAUAUUCGUCUCUCACCAGCGAAAUACAUAUAUUUCUAUCGUGUGUCAAUAAUAAUAAUUUCUCGUCGAUAAAUCUUGACGAGAUUAUUACGAAAUAUCAGUUAAUAAAUUUUUCUUUUUUUUUUU